AUUGAACGCUGGCGGCAGGCUUAACACAUGCAAGUCGAGCGGGGUGAUGGUGCUUGCACUAUCACUUAGCGGCGGACGGGUGAGUAAUGCUUAGGAAUCUGCCUAUUAGUGGGGGACAACAUCGCGAAAGGGAUGCUAAUACCGCAUACGUCCUACGGGAGAAAGCAGGGGAUCACUUGUGACCUUGCGCUAAUAGAUGAGCCUAAGUCGGAUUAGCUAGUUGGUGGGGUAAAGGCCUACCAAGGCGACGAUCUGUAGCGGGUCUGAGAGGAUGAUCCGCCACACUGGGACUGAGACCCGGCCCAGACUCCUACGGGAGGCAGCAGUGGGGAAUAUUGGACAAUGGGGGGAACCCUGAUCCAGCCAUGCCGCGUGUGUGAAGAAGGCCUUAUGGUUGUAGAGCACUUUAAGCGAGGAGGAGGCUCUUUUGGUUAAUACCCAAGAUGAGUGGACGUUACUCGCAGAAUAAGCACCGGCUAACUCUGUGUCAGCAGCCGCCGUAA
rnacentral:rRNA from 1 species